rnacentral:rRNA from 1 species
GACGAACGCUGGCGGCGUGCUUAACACAUGCAAGUCGAACGAAAAGAGGGAAAGAGCUUGCUCUUUCCGGAAUUGAGUGGCAAACGGGUGAGUAACACGUAAACAACCUGCCUUCAGGAUGGGGACAACAGACGGAAACGACUGCUAAUACCGAAUAAGUUCCAAGGGCCGCAUGGCCCAUGGAAGAAAAGGUGGCCUCUACCUGUAAGCUAUCGCCUGAAGAGGGGUUUGCGUCUGAUUAGCUGGUUGGAGGGGUAACGGCCCACCAAGGCGACGAUCAGUAGCCGGUCUGAGAGGAUGAACGGCCACACUGGAACUGAGACACGGUCCGGACUCCUACGGGAGGCAGCAGUGGGGAAUCUUCCGCAAUGGGCGAAAGCCUGACGGAGCAACGCCGCGUGAGGGAUGACGGCCUUCGGGUUGUAAAACUCUGUGAUCCGGGACGAAAAGGCAGAGUGCGAAGAACAAACUGCAUUGACGGUACCGGAAAAGCAAGCCACGGCUAACUACGUG